rnacentral:rRNA from 1 species
UGGGGAAUAUUGGACAAUGGGCGCAAGCCUGAUCCAGCAAUGCCGCGUGAGUGAUGAAGGCCUUCGGGUUGUAAASCUCUUUUACCCGGGACGAUAAUGACGGUACCGGGAGAAUAAGCCCCGGCUAACUCCGUGCCAGCAGCCGCGGUAAUAA